CCCCUAGAUGUUCUGGGCCGCACGCGCGCUACACUGAACAGUUCAACAAGUCUUAACCUUGGCCGAUAGGUCUGGGUAAUCUUUGAACGCUGUUCGUGAUUGGGAUAGACCUUUGCAAUUAUGGGUCUUCAACGAGGAAUUCCUAGUAAACGCAAGUCAUCAGCUUGCAUUGAUUACGUCCCUGCCCUUUGUACACACCGCCCGUCACACCUACCGAUUGAAUGGUCCGGUGAAAUCUCGGGACGGCGGCUUGGUCGCUUGCGUCCGACUGCUGAAACUUGAUUAAACCAUAUCAUUUAGAGGAAGGUGAANUCGUANCA
rnacentral:rRNA from 1 species